rnacentral:rRNA from 1 species
GACGAACGCUGGCGGCGUGCUUAACACAUGCAAGUCGAACGGAAAGGCCCUGCUUUUGUGGGGUGCUCGAGUGGCGAACGGGUGAGUAACACGUGAGUAACCUGCCAUUGACUUUGGGAUAACCUAAGGAAACUGGGGCUAAUACCGGAUAGGAGCUCUCGCUGCAUGGUGGGGGUUGGAAAGUUUCGGCGGUUGGGGAUGGACUCGCGGCCUAUCAGCUUGUUGGUGGGGUAGUGGCUUACCAAGGCUUUGACGGGUAGCCGGCCUGCGAGGGUGACCUGCCACAUUGGGACUGGGAUGCGGCCCAGACCCCUACGGGAGGGAGCGGAGGGGAAUAGUGCACAAUGGGCGGAAGCCUGAUGCAGCAACGCCGCGUGCGGGAUGACGGCCUUCGGGUUGUGAUCCGCUUUCGCCUGUGACGAGGCGUGAGUGACGGUAAUGGGUAAAGAAGCACCGGCUAACUACGUG